UACGGAGGGUGCAAGCGUUAUCCGGAAUCAUUGGGUUUAAAGGGUCCGCAGGCGGGUUUAUAAGUCAGAGGUGAAAUCCCACAGCUUAACUGUGGAACUGCCUUUGAAACUGUAAGUCUUGAAUUAAGUGGGCGUUGGCGGAAUAUGACAUGUAGCGGUGAAAUGCAUAGAUAUGUCAUGGAACACCGAAAGCGAAGGCAGCUAACGAUACUUUAAUUGACGCUCAUGGACGAAAGCGUGGGUAGCGAAC
rnacentral:rRNA from 1 species